rnacentral:siRNA from 1 species
ACCACUGCGGACUAUAAUUGAUGA